rnacentral:rRNA from 1 species
AUUGAACGCUGGCGGCAGGCCUAACACAUGCAAGUCGAGCGAGCGGCGGACGGGUGAGUAAUGUAUGGGGACUGCCCGGUAGCGGGGGAUAACUACUGGAAACAGUGGCUAAUACCGCAUACUAUUGGAUAGCCCAUAUGGGAUUAGCUAGUAGGUGGGGUAAAGGCUCACCUAGGCGACGAUAUCCAGCUGGUCUGAGAGGAUGAUCAGUCACACUGGGACUGAGACACGGCCCAGACGCCUAUGGAGGCAGCAGUGGGGAAUAUUGCACAAUGGGCGCAAGCCUGAUGCAGCCAUGCCGCGUGUAUGAAGAAGGCCUUAGGGUUGUAAAGUACUUUCAGCAGGGAGGCGUUAUCCGCAGAAGAAGCACCGGCUAACGCCGUGCCAGCAGCCGCGGUAAUUC